rnacentral:rRNA from 1 species
UAAGUCAGUGGUGAAAUUCUGUAGCUUAACUAUAGAACUGCCAUUGAUACUGUAGGGCUUGAGUGUUGUUGAGGCAGGCGGAAUUUAUGGUGUAGCGGUGAAAUGCAUAGAUACCAUAAAGAACACCGAUAGCGUAGGCAGCUUACUGGAGUAUAACUGACGCUGAGGCACGAAAGCAUGGGUAGCGAACAGGAUUAGAUACCCUGGUAGUCCACACCGUAAACGAUGAAUGCCAGUCGUCGGGCAGUAUACUGUUCGGUGACACACCUAACGGAUUAAGCAUUCCGCCUGGGGAGUACGGUCGCAAGAUUAAAACUCAAAGGAAUUGACGGGGGCCCGCACAAGCGGUGGAG